UACGAAGGGUGCAAGCGUUACUCGGAAUUACUGGGCGUAAAGCGUGCGCAGGCGGCUUCUCAAGUCAGGGGUGAAAGCCCAGAGCUCAACUCUGGAAUUGCCUUUGAGACUGAGUGGCUUGAGUACGAGAGAGGUGAGUGGAAUUCCCAGUGUAGAGGUGAAAUUCGUAGAUAUUGGGGAAGAACACCGGUGGCGAAGGCGGCUCACUGGCUCGUAACUGACGCUCAUGCACGACAGCGUGGGGAUCAAACAGG
rnacentral:rRNA from 1 species